GUAGGGUGUAAUUUUCUUUCCCUUUGUUUUCGGGAUAGGGGUUUAUCCGAAAACCAAACGCAAUAUUCGGCAUUGUCCAAAUUCAUUUGCAUUUGAGUUUCAUUUGACUCUCAUUUACCUCACUCUUCAUAUAUAAACCUUGUUCUCUCUGACACACUUUCCUGUAACACUUCCCACUCCUCGCUCGCUUCUCCACCGCUCUCCGCUGCAAUUCCUA
rnacentral:lncRNA from 1 species